AACGAACGCUGGCGGCAUGCCUAACACAUGCAAGUCGAACGAGACCUUCGGGUCUAGUGGCGCACGGGUGCGUAACGCGUGGGAACCUGCCUUUAGGUUCGGAAUAACUCAGAGAAAUUUGAGCUAAUACCGGAUAAUGUCUUCGGACCAAAGAUUUAUCGCCUUUAGAUGGGCCCGCGUUGGAUUAGCUAGUUGGUGGGGUAAAGGCCUACCAAGGCGACGAUCCAUAGCUGGUCUGAGAGGAUGAUCAGCCACACUGGGACUGAGACACGGCCCAGACUCCUACGGGAGGCAGCAGUGGGAAUAUUGGACAAUGGGCGAAAGCCUGAUCCAGCAAUGCCGCGUGAGUGAUGAAGGCCUAGGUUGUAAAGCACUUUUACCCGAGAUGAUAAUGACAGUAUCGGGAGAAUAAGCUCCGGCUAACUCCGUGCCAGCAG
rnacentral:rRNA from 1 species